rnacentral:lncRNA from 1 species
UUUUGUUUUUAUAAAGCUUAGGAUAAAAACUUCAUCCAAAAUAGAGGGAAAAUAAUUUUUUCCAAAUAAUGUUUUCUUUACUUUGUGAUCAAUUUUAGGAGCAAACAAUUUUGCGACCAAAACUCUGCGUAUUGAGGUAAAUCAAAAUGGACAGUUCAAAUCCAAUUUUGGAGGGGAUAUUAAUCUCGGAGUGGAUUUUGAUAUGAAUCAUCUAUGCGCCAAAAGUUCUUCGUCAUUGUUGUUGCUGCUGUUGUGUUUUUUUUUUCUUUCGAAGUGUUAAUGGUGGUAAUGGAGUUUGGUGGUAAUGGAGUUUAGGAUGUUUGUUGGGGCAUUUGCCCCCUAACCACCCAUGCCUUGACCGUAAUCCUCUUAAAUUGCUACUAAAAGAGUUGAAUUUAG